AUCUGCGGGUGGAGGAAGGAACACCUCUGCCCCCCUUCACUUCUUUUGUCCGGCUGCAGCUCCUUCGGAAUGAUGGCGCCGUCGCUAUGGAAGGGGCUGGUGGGCAUUGGCCUCUUUGCCAUAGCCCACGCCGCCUUUUCUGCAGCUCAGCAUCGUUCUUAUAUGCGAUUAACAGAAAAGGAAGAUGAAUCACUGCCAAUAGAUACAGUUCUUCAGACACUUCUGGCCUUUGCAGUUACCUGCUAUGGUAUAGUUCAUAUUACAGGGGAGUUUAAAGACAUGGAUGCCACUUCAGAACUAAAAAAUAAGACAUUUGAUACAUUAAGGAAUCACCCAUCCUUUUAUGUAUUUAAUCAUCGUGGUCGAGUACUGUUCCAGCCUUCAGAUGCAAGAAAUUCUUCAAACCAAGAUGCAUCGUCCUCUAACACAUCAUUGAAGUUAUGAAAACUUCAAUCACUACGUCAUUAAGAUUUUUACAAAUUAUAACAGGACAGGACACAGAGCUGGAAUAUUGGAGUUUGGGGUAUAAAACACUCCCCCCAUCAGUAUUUAUACCGAUCUUUCAGACCUAAUUAAAAAAAAACUAUGGCUCUUGUUUAUACACUGUUAAUCGAAUCAUUAAUGCAGUAUAAGUUACCUGUGGAAUGAGUCUUUGGCAUUUCAUAUAGAGAAUUUUUUUUUCAUUUAAAAUGAAUUUAUGUCUUUUGUAAAAGCCACUGUUUUGAAUGCAUUUUUCUUGGAAAAUGUUGGUGGUUUUUGUGAUUAUUUUCUUAAAUUUCUUGUGCACUAUAGUUUUGGAAUCCUUUUGGAAAUACUGUGACUACUGCAUUUUGCAGCAUGACUUAUAGCAAAAUGGUCUUCACUUCUCAAUAUAUGGACUUCCCUGAUGAGAUUAAAAUGGUGAUUUAUUGGUUUUUCUUGUGUCCCCUAGAAAGUGUCUCUGCUUUGGUAGAUGCUUGUCAGCUUUUAAUUUAUCCAUGACUUCUCACCUCACCCCACUCCUAA